rnacentral:tRNA from 3 species
GGAAGGGUGGCAGAGCGGUUGAAUGCAGCGGUCUUGAAAACCGCCGUAGGUUAAUAGCCUACCCAGGGUUCGAAUCCCUGCCCUUCCGCCA